AAGCUUAAUGGGAACUUCACAUCAGCAUGCACUGACGUGGCUGUUGGGAGUGUCACAUGUAUUCAGGAAUAUUAAUACAAGUUGGAAUAUGUAUUAUUCAUUGCAGCAAAGGUUUAUUUGCCUACUAGUUAGUUUUGUACUUAAUUUAUUUCUUUUAUAUUUAUUUGGCAGGAACAGUCAAGUAUCCUGUCAGCGCCACAGCUGUGCCUGACAGGACUAAAGAAGGAAUGAUUGAGGACAUGGCUGAAGCUCGCAGAAGUGGAGUGAAUGUUCGGGGAGUGAAGGGGCCAUCCCCAUUGAUAAACUUCUUGGGAUUUGAUAUUGUGUGGGGCUUCACCCCUGACUACAUGCACUGUGUUUUGCUUGGAGUGACAUGCCAGUUUAUGGAGUUGUGAUUGUCUGGUGUUGGGGCUCCGUAUUACAUUAGAUCACCUCAAUGUGUUAGGACAAUCGAUGAAAGGCUGUGUGCCAUAAAGCCACCACAAAGCAUCACACGCCUGCCGAGAUCUGUUCAGCUGAGAAAGUUUUGGAAGGCAAAACAAAAUCGGAAGUGCCCUUCCACUCUGCGAAGAAGGAUGACCAGCGAAGCUGUGUAUGUGGGCCCCUUAAUGGCAUACUACACCGCCGCGGGUCGGCCCGGCAUUGCACUAUCCUCGGGAUCGGCCCACAUAUGGGGAGUGCUUAAUGCCUGCUUCACCUCCGCCGCGGGUUGGCGGAGGUGAUGCUUAGAACAUUUAAUGUCACGGUUUUCAGGAAAUUAGUAUUCAGCAAAGUUUAAACUAGCUACAACAGCCCAUUUAAAACUCACAAUGUUUGUGUUGUUCAGUUCCUCUGGAUAAAUUGAAUGUUAAUAACAAAUGAGUGUUACUUCCUCUGGUAUCUUUGAAUGUUACUAAUAAAUGUUUCCGAAAACAUCCUUAUAGUACAACGCUAAAGACCACGCGGCUGGCAACUUCACAUUGUAGCACCUUUCGACAUUGAUGUCAUCAACUUGACGAGUUCUGUGGUUCUGGGGCUUCCCGUGAUGUCCCCCGAGCUCUGUUGACAUUACCGAUCGGGAUGUUUGUGCAUAGAGCAUGAUGGGAGACGACGAUACUACUUUGUUGCCAGGCUGUUUGCCAGAUGCAGUUACCAGGUGGCAUGCUGAAGAGAUUUUGCUUUGCAACUUUAUUUCCGGCAUGUUACUGUGGCUUAUGAGGUCUCAACACAGAAAACUGAAUAAUUAUUGGUGUAGUUACUUCCUACAACAUGAAUAUUUUGCUGACCAUAAAUGUGAAAUAAAAUUCUAUCAUUAGAAUUAACCUAGAACAAGAUUGUAGAAUCAGUGACCUUAAAACCAUGCUGCAUGCUUAGGAAAUGAAUUGCAAUUUAUAUGUUUUGACUCUUUUACCUUGAGUAUGCCACUACGGCAUGGAACGUGAAAACUAAUAAACUUGUUCCCUGAAAGCUAUUCAGAACCGCUUUGUUACUUGCAUGUAAAAGAAUGUCUUAUUGUCAGGACCAUUUCAAAGGUCACUGUACUUUUUUCUAGACUAUCUCUUCGACUGAAUCUUGUGUGGAAAUACAGGAUUCCUGGUUGUGCUAUAUUAUGUCCUCCUAGAACUUGCAUUCUCUGUUAUUGUUUAUACAUCUUUUCUUCCCUUCUACAAGAGAUUACUUUAUUUUGCAUGAUCACGUUUGCUUUGUUGGCAUUAUUUUGUAUUGUUUGUGUAUUCACGGCGGUAUUUUGCAUUGGUAUUUCAUGUAUUAUUGUUUCUUUUGUUUUUUGUUCCUGUCUUGGCCGUGUAAUAAUAUAAUUUGUUUUGUCUACUACCUGAGAGGACGUCCCUCUACAGCUUUAUGCUCAAGGAACUCCUUCUAUAUCUUCAAUUUUAUUACACAUAUUAGCAGCUCAGUAAAACAUGAUUCUGAUUCUGACAAGUGGACAUAUCUAAAGCCGCCCACAUGCAUUUCAUGGUAAUGUCAGUGUUGUACUUAUUAAAGAUAGUUCUUUUUCUCACGUAGGAUAAACAAAUAAAACAAAGGUCCUGAAGCGAUGUUUGAGCCCCUGAUAACGUUUUCCCUGAAGCAUGCAGAAACCUGGUACUGCAACCAAUGACAUGAAUAUUUGUGGUAGAACACCAUCUAAAACAUUUCUUGAACAUUUUCUUGUUCUUUGUUUCCAAGUUCCUUUUUUGUCAGUGUUUAUUCUUUGAUAUAUUAUGUUUGCAUUGAACAAGCAGUGUGUUGGUAAUCUGUUCCUUAUGUAUAAACAGUAUUUAGGUACAGUCUCUUUUACAUUGUAUAUUUUUGUAUGGAUUUAAUCAUGUAACCCCUGCCCUUGUGCCUUUGGAUAAAUGUAGUCACAUAAAUAAAAAUUUCGAGCUGUUCAUCU